CAAAAUGUUACAUAAUAUCUUCACAAAAUUAACUGAAAUCAUCCCGGAAUUAUUUGUAUUUGCAAAUCGAAUGAUGGACCAUCAAACAGGACUCCAUAAUUAUUGAGGGUUGUCUAAUGAAAUGGUUAAUGGAAUAAGAAGCAGUCAAAGGACAAUGAUUGGCUAAUUGUUUAUUGAAACAGCAGAAGAUAUAGUGCAAACAUUGUUGAACAAGUAAUUAAAGGUAAAUAUUCUGUAAAUAUUACUGCAAAAAACAAU